UCGGAAUCACUGGGCGUAAAGCGCACGUAGGCGGAUUCUUAAGUCAGGGGUGAAAUCCUGGAGCUCAACUCCAGAACUGCCUUUGAUACUGGGAGUCUCGAGUCCGGGAGAGGUGAGUGGAACUGCGAGUGUAGAGGUGAAAUUCGUAGAUAUUCGCAAGAACACCAGUGGCGAAGGCGGCUCACUGGCCCGGUACUGACGCUGAGGUGCGAAAGCGUGGGGAGCAAACAGG
rnacentral:rRNA from 1 species